rnacentral:ribozyme from 14 species
AAAAAAAAAAAAAAAAAACAAAAAAAAAAAAAAAAAAAAAAAAUCAUCAGCACUUUAACGAACCACGCCUCUAUAUUU